UAGUGAGUUUGAUCCUGGCUCAGAACGAACGCUGGCGGCAGGCCUAACACAUGCAAGUCGAGCGCCCCGCAAGGGGAGCGGCGGACGGGUGAGUAACGCGUGGGAACGUGCCCCUUUCUACGGAAUAGCCUCGGGAAACUGGGAGUAAUACCGUAUAAGCCCUACGGGGGAAAGAUUUAUCGGGAAGGGAUCGGCCCGCGUUGGAUUAGGUAGUUGGUGGGGUAAUGGCCUACCAAGCCGACGAUCCAUAGCUGGUUUGAGAGGAAUGAUCAGCCACAACUGGGACUGAGACACGGCCCAGACUCCUACGGGGAGC
rnacentral:rRNA from 1 species